CACGUAGGGUGCGAGCGUUGUCCGGAAUUAUUGGGCGUAAAGAGCUCGUAGGCGGUGUGUCGCGUCGGCCGUGAAAACCUGCAGCUUAACUGUGGGCGUGCGGUCGAUACGGGCAUCACUGGAGUUCGGCAGGGGAGACUGGAAUUCCUGGUGUAGCGGUGAAAUGCGCAGAUAUCAGGAGGAACACCCGUAGCGAAGGCGGCACUCUGGGCCGGAACUGACGCUGAGGAGCGAAAGCGUGGGGAGCGAACAGG
rnacentral:rRNA from 1 species